ACUAUAUACUAAUUCUCAACGCACUGUUCAUCGGCUUAUGAACAGUGUCGGCUCCAGCCGAGCCGAUAUAGUAAAAGACGAUUUUGCCCCCGCCUGCGUUUCUUGCCUCGACACCUGGCGUACUGCUCAGUCCUAUCGUGUCUUCGCUACUUCACUCCACAGAGAGGUGGAGAGAGAGAGAGAGAGAAACAGCGAAGGUGGUACUGUUUGAAUUUCGGUGCAUGCAAUUCUGGGUGAAAACUGAAAACAGAAUACCGAGUUCACUGAUGGUGGUAUUUUGUUAUCUGUAGAGGACUGAAAUCGGAGAGGAGGAAGGGAGAAUUUAUCAAGGCCAAGAAAGGUGGUUGUUUGUGAAUUUUGCAGAAUGGAAUAGCAGAGAAGAAUUGGUGGGGGAGAGUUUGGGUUGGGUUUUCGUUGGGAUCGACAAUGGUUAGUAGUAAACUACAAAGGGAGGGCAUAUGCUCAAAGAGUUGAGCCAAAGCUUGCUUUGGUUGAGGUACAGCUGCCAAAUGAGGCA